ACGGACGUCGUUUGUUGGCUGCUUCUGCCGGAAAAAGCCGAUAGAUCUAAGGAGCCAAUUAGAAUCUGUCGCUGGAAAUCCACGCCCAACGGGCGAAAAAUACCGAAGAUACCCGAACCAGAAGAAGGUGGGUUCGCCUUGUUCGGAGGAGAAAUUCGAUAAAGGCCACAGUGGCCAAUCAGAGUCCGCCGGCCCCCCAGAAAAAAACGCUUGAAGAGUUAAGAACGGUGAAACCCGGGGUUCUGGGUGAAACAGCACGGCUGGGCCCGUGGCCGCCUUGUAAUUGGCCAAAAAACUCCUCGGGGAGUGUGCCUCCCUCGCUGAAUCGUGAACGGAAGGGGGCUUCCGAGGACAGUCUGGCCAGUCAGAACGCCUCCUCCCUCGCCAAGGUGGGGCAAAGAAGAAAGCAAUGGGAGGGCGUCUAUAAAGUGCCUUCUCAUUGGCUGGAAGCUUUGGAGCUGGAGUUGGGGCUAAAGGGAAAGGGAGGGAGGCCGCACCGCUAGCGGUAGCCAAUCGGCACUCACUGCCGUCCAAUCGCAAGACCUAGCUGCAGUGUGAUUGGCCCUCAGCCUCCGGCGGCGGUCCCCGGAGUCCGGAGCAGCUCGGCUGGGGCCGCGGCGGACGGUGUGACGGGCUCGCCGGCGGCUGCUCCCACACCAUAUGGGAACCGCAAAUAGGGAGCGCGGGCUCUCCGCACUGCCGGUCCGGAACUGCUGCGGUCGGCGGGGCUGGGCUCGGAGCGCUCAGGCGAGCAGAGGGUUUAGGGCCUCUCUCCACUCACUGAGGCUGCCGGCGGGGCGCGGCGAAUUCUGCGCGCCCAAGACUUCCCUCCGCCCGGGAUAGUGCGUCCCGAGUGCCAGUGUCUUCCCCGAAAAGUCCAGAUCGAUGCUAGAUGCCUCACCGGCCGAGAGCGAGUUCUCGGACGCUAAACAAAGCUUUCAGAAAGGCAGCAGCGCCCCUGGGCGGCCGCGCCCCACCCCGCCCCGCCGCGGGGCCAUUGAUUAAACCCCGGCCGGGCUGGCCUGCUGGGAACGCCCCUGAGAAAUGAGCUCAUGCUGCAUGCGCGCGCUCCUAGGGCCCUGCCGCCCGGCGCUCUCUGAACCGGCCCCGAAAUCAGGAAAUACAACAUAAUUUUGCAAUAAUUGAGACUCCAGAAAACACAGAAGCAUUUUGAUUCCUUGAGGGCCAUGAUGGAGAUCAUGAAAACUUCCAGUAGAAGGUGGAGGUGACCUGGCUUACUGGGGCUGGAUCAACAAUGAGUACCAGAAGUGUUCAAAGACAAGACACCUCAACAGCUGACAUCCGUGUGGCUGCACAUAAGACUUGGUUUUGAGCCCAUGUAAAACCCUGUCUAAAGAAUCUUAGAAAUUAUGGAACCCUGCAAGGAGCUGGAGGUCCUGCAUCAGUAGGCAAAGGCAGGAGGCAUUGAAAUGUGGGUUAUAAAGCCAUUUUUAAUAAAUUGAUAAUUGUGGCUUUUAGUUCAUAAAGGAUAAGAUGUAAGAAUUGAAUCUGCUGUUCCCUUACUUCAGUGGUUCCCAUUUCCACACUCUUAUUUGUGCGAGCAUUUCACAAAACUGAGGGUACUCUGAUGGUUGUUUUGAAAUACAGGGCAUGUUUGUUUGUUUUUUAUAACAUGACCCAUUAAUGCAGGUUAAAUACAAUUCUUCAUCUGGUGUUCAACCAAAGAAACAGUGGUAUGCUCCAAUACUGGGAGAAAAACUAGCUGAACUGAAUUUAUUGAUAUUUUAGGUCCUUUAUAGGGUAAUUUUGAAUGUGUGUGAUUGGCACCUAAAAUGCUGUUUUUAGAACCUAAACCAAAGAGGAAACUCCAGGGUUUUACUUUUCCUAUAAUGCUUAAUACUUUAUAAUGAACAUUAUAGUAUUGAACACAUACUGAAACCUGUAAGGUAGACUAGACAGGUAAUAUUACUUCAUUUUAUAGAUUUUUAAUUGGAGGCAAAAAGAACUAUAAUUAGCUUUCCUGGCUCAAUUUUACCACACUGAUCAAAUAUAUUCAUUGAGCAGCCACAGGUAUAUGGCAUUUCAUUAUGCUCUUGGAAUAAUAUUUUUUAAAAUGCAUGAAAGUAUGCUCUGAGCAGGUAAGAGAAGUCUCAUAAAAUAAGAAUAGUUUAUAACCUGACAUCCUUUUUCAAAUAAAAUUUUCAUGGACCUUC